UACGGAGGAUGCAAGCGUUAUCCGGAAUUAUUGGGCGUAAAGAGUGCGUAGGUGGUUACCUAAGCGCAAGGUUUAAUCUUGAGGCUCAACCUCAUUCUGCCUUGCGAACUGGGCUACUUGAGUGCAGGAGGGGAAAGCGGAAUUCCCAGUGUAGCGGUGAAAUGCGUAGAUAUUGGGAAGAACACCGGUGGCGAAGGCGGCUUUCUGGACUGUAACUGACACUGAGGCACGAAAGCGUGGGGAGCAAACA
rnacentral:rRNA from 1 species